UACGUAGGGUGCAAGCGUUAUCCGGAAUUAUUGGGCGUAAAGAGCUUGUAGGCGGUUUGUCGCGUCUGCUGUGAAAAUCCGGGGCUCAACCCCGGACUUGCAGUGGGUACGGGCAGACUAGAGUGAUGUAGGGGAGACUGGAAUUCCUGGUGUAGCGGUGAAAUGCGCAGAUAUCAGGAGGAACACCGGUGGCGAAGGCGGUUCUCUGGGCAUGACCUGACGCUGAGGAGCGAAAGUGUGGGGAGCGAACAGG
rnacentral:rRNA from 1 species